GAUGAACGCUGGCGGCGUGCUUAACACAUGCAAGUCGAACGGGAAUUACUUUAUUGAAACUUCGGUCGAUUUAAUUUAAUUCUAGUGGCGGACGGGUGAGUAACGCGUGGGUAACCUGCCUUAUACAGGGGGAUAACAGUCAGAAAUGACUGCUAAUACCGCAUAAGCGCACGGAACCGCAUGGUUUUGUGUGAAAAACUCCGGUGGUGUGAGAUGGACCCGCGUUGGAUUAGCCAGUUGGCGGGGUAACGGCCCACCUAGGCGACGAUCAGUAGCCGGACUGAGAGGUUGACCGGCCACAUUGGGACUGAGACACGGGCCCAGACUCCUACGGGAGG
rnacentral:rRNA from 1 species